rnacentral:rRNA from 1 species
GUGUCAGCCGCCGCGGUAAUUCGAAGGGGGCUAGCGUUGCUCGGAAUGACUGGGCGUAAAGGGCGCGUAGGCUGUUUGUACAGUCAGAUGUGAAAUCCCCGGGCUUAACCUGGGAACUGCAUUUGAUACGUGCAGACUAGAGUCCGAGAGAGGGUUGUGGAAUUCCCAGUGUAGAGGUGAAAUUCGUAGAUAUUGGGAAGAACACCGGUUGCGAAGGCGGCAACCUGGCUCGGAACUGACGCUGAGGCGCGAAAGCGUGGGGAGCGAACAGGAUUAGAUACCCUGGUAGUCCACGCUGUAAACGAUGUGUGCUGGAUGUUGGGUGAUUUUAUCAUUCAGUGUCGGAGCUAACGCGUUAAGCACACCGCCUGGGGAGUACGGCCGCAAGGUUGAAACUCAAAGGAAUUGACGG